rnacentral:rRNA from 1 species
GAUGAACGCUAGCUACAGGCUUAACACAUGCAAGUAGCGGGAACGGCGCACGGGUGAGUAACGCGUAUCCAACCUGCCCUUCACCACGGGAUAACCCGGCGAAAGUCGGACUAAUACCAGAUGGUGGGGGAUGGGGAUGGGUCAGAUUAGCUUGCCGGCGGGGUAACGGCCAACCGUGGCUACGAUCGGUAGGGGUUCUGAGAGGAAGGUCCCCCACGCUGGAACUGAGACACGGUCCAGACUCCUACGGGAGGAAGCAGUGAGGAAUAUUGGUCAAUGGGCGUAAGCCUGAACCAGCCAAGUAGCGUGCAGGACGACGGCCUAUGGGUUGUAAACUGCUUUUAUGCGGGGAUAGGUACCGCAUGAAUAAGGACCGGCUAAUUCCGUGCCAGCAGCCGCGGUAAUAC